GCUCCUUCUUCUUUUUUUUUCUUCCACUCUUAAAAAGCUUCUUUCUCUUCACCCAAGCCUCACUGUCCCUCUCCGGCUCUAGCUCUCUCCAUAUAAACCCUCAAGAUUAUGUCAAUUGGUUAGAGCCAGCCGGGAAUUUCGUGCGGGUGCUGAAGGAGCUGCGGGAGCCGGAGAAGAAUGAAACUGCGUGGAGUCAGCCUGGCUGCCGGCUUGUUCUUACUGGCCCUGAGUCUUUGGGGGCAGCCUGCAGAGGCUGCGGCUUGCUAUGGGUGUUCUCCAGGAUCAAAGUGUGACUGCAGUGGCAUAAAAGGGGAAAAGGGAGAGAGAGGGUUUCCAGGUUUGGAAGGACACCCAGGAUUGCCUGGAUUUCCAGGUCCAGAAGGGCCUCCAGGGCCUCGGGGACAAAAGGGUGAUGAUGGAAUUCCAGGGCCACCAGGACCAAAAGGAAUCAGAGGUCCUCCUGGACUUCCUGGAUUUCCAGGGACACCAGGUCUUCCUGGAAUGCCAGGCCACGAUGGGGCCCCAGGACCUCAAGGUAUUCCUGGAUGCAAUGGAACCAAGGUGAGAUCCAUCCAUUUAAUCUUGGGUAGUAUACUUGACAAUAAUUAACUUAAAAACCUAAAGAAAUCAAUAUGAAGAAUGUAGAAGAAGGGAUAUAGUGGCUUCAGGUCUUGGCUAUUACAUAAAGUAUGCUCUGACUACAAUUUUCUAUAUAUUGAACUAUCAAUAAUUUCAUUAAACAUGUAUAAUUAGCUGGGAUAUUGCAUUGGGUUGA
rnacentral:sRNA from 1 species